UCUCCUAGGUCAGGUAACAGCGACAAGGGGCACAAUGCAGGACUACCCUGCCCUCUGGCCAGCGUCACCUGGAGAGCUGGACCCAGCUGGUGGCCAGUGACCUGAUAGGCUGCCACCGAAGUUCAGCAAUGGCUUUGCACUUGCUGGGAGGUGAAAGGCCUUCCUGCGCCUACAGGACAGACCUCACUUCAGCAAAGGUUUAAAAAGUGGCAGCCAACGGGCCCCAGGAAGGAGGCUUGUUUAUAACAUGAGAGCUGAGCAAGACGGUUCCAUCUCACCUGGGAGUGAGCGCAUCAGGGACCUCGGGCUCCAGAGAGACCACAGGACCACAACCCUCUUUGUCCCUUCCUGGUCCUCCCCGAGGUUCUUUGGCUCUUUCUUCUACUCAGACCUCAUCUCUUCUGGAAGCUUCUCAGACAGAGCCUGCUCCUGACACUCGUCUCUCUGGCCCAUCCAUCUGCACGUCCUAUCUCCCCGCUGCCAAAUGCACGGUGCCGGCCAUUCAUUCGGGAAGCCAGCUGGCCUUGUGCUUGGAAAGUCUGCAGUCCUUGUUUUAUGCUUUCUCGUCCUUC